rnacentral:sRNA from 1 species
GCUGGGCUUGGUGGCACAUGUUUGUAAUCCCAGCAGCUCAGGAGGCUGAGGCAGGAGGAUCGUGAGUUCAAAGCCAGCCUCAACCAAAGUGAGAUGCUAAGCAACUCAAUGAGACCCUGUCUCUA